rnacentral:lncRNA from 1 species
UUUUCUUUCAGAGCCUUCCACGCCGGGAGAGGCUAGGGGCCGUGGGAAGGGCGUUGCUUCGAGCUAGCUCUUCAGCGAGUGACGAGUUCUAGGUGGUCUACCUCUCGAUAUAUUUAUUUUGAAGAGGUUGAGAGCUGUACUAGUGUACUAGAGACCACCCUUUUGUGUACCUUUUGGACAGAUAUUGUAUAACUUUAUGUUUCACUCUUAUUGCUUUAGUAUUAUCCUUUUACCUUGUUGUAGAUGAUAGAUCUAUUUGUGCUCUGAUAUUUCUAAAUAUUGUUUAUCUUUGGUUUAUUUUUCGCUGUUGAUGUAGACGCUUUAUAUGUGUUGACAUAUGGCGGGUCUGGGCACGCUACCGGGGGGGCCUCUGCUCGUCCCAGGGCGUGACAUGACUAGAGAUAGAUGUACCAUAGGUCAGCAUAGCUAAGGGAUAUAGAAAAAAAAGAAACAAAAUUGUAAUAACAAUGUUGAUUGUAUUUGGAAAGGAAAAAUAUAAAUGUAAUGGGAAUGUGAAGUGAAUGCUUGUAAUAGCAUAGUUGUUUAUGUUUCUGAUAUCUUUCUUAUGUAAUCUCUGUAUGAAUUUUGUUCCUGAUUGGAAGAUCUUGAAUUGAAUUGUAUUGAUUGUGAUGUCUUGGGCGGACAGAAAAAAUUCUGUUCGUUCGGCGGUCUGUUGGCACGACCGAAUCGGACCAAAAUAGUGGGUCUCGAGGC